rnacentral:SRP_RNA from 1 species
GCCAGGCGUGGUGGCUCACGCCUGUAAUCCCAGCACCUUGGGAGGCCGAGGUGGGUGGAUCACCUGAGGUCAGGAGUUCAAGACCAGCCUGGCCAACAUGGUGAAAUCCCAUCUCUA